UACGUAGGGUGCAAGCGUUGUCCGGAAUUACUGGGUUUAAAGGGUACGUAGGUGGACUUGUAAGUCUGGAGUGAAAGUUCACAGCUCAACUGUGAAAGUGCUUUGGAUACUGUGGGUCUAGAAUUAGAUAUAGGUAGCUGGAAUUUGUGGUGUAGCGGUGAAAUGCAUAGAUACCACGAGGAACACCAAUUGCGAAGGCAGGCUACUGGGUCUAUAUUGACACUGAUGUACGAAAGUGUGGGUAGCGAAC
rnacentral:rRNA from 1 species